GUGUCGUCUAGGCUGAAGACUCUGCAGUGUAACGUCUCGAGGGCCGUCAGUUUCUUCAACGAUCUCCCAGGAUUCAGCUGUCAAUCAAUUCAGGGCGGAGUCUUCAUCUGCCCACAGCUGAGUCUCCCUCACUCUACACACACACACUCACAGCCAGUGGGCUUGUUGUACAGCAGGAGGUUGUUGGAGGAUCAGGGUGUGUGUGUUGGGUUCAGCGAAGAUCACACACAUUCACACUGCUGCCACUUCAGGUUGUGUGUGUUGAUGCCAUCAGAUGAACUAGAGGAAGUUCUCGGUCGCCUUCACUGUUUUCACCUAAAAUUCCUCCAGGAAUACUGAAAUCACACACUCAGUGAAGCUCAUCAGAGGAUUAGAUCUGUACACUAGGCUGUUUCCUCCUCUACUCUGCAGAACAUGCUCAUGUGAGCAGUAUUAAAGGGAUCGUUCACGCAGAAAUCAA